CAAUAGCGUAUAUUAAAGUUGUUGCAGUUAAAAAGCUCGUAGUUGGACCUUGGACCUGGACAGGCGGUCCGCCUCACGGCGUGUACUGUCUUGCUGGGUCUUUCCUCUUGGUGAUCUGUUGUUUCGGCAGCAGGGAACCAGGACUUUUACUUUGAAAAAAUUAGAGUGUUCAAAGCAGGCUCGACGCCGGAAUAUAUUAGCAUGGAAUAAUAAAAUAGGACGUGCGGUUCUAUUUUGUUGGUUUUUGGAAUCGCCGUAAUGAUUAAUAGGGACAGUCGGGGGCAUUAGUACUCGCAUGCUAGAGGUGAAAUUCUUGGAUUUUGUGAAGACUAACUUCUGCGAAAGCAUUUGCCAAGGAUGUUUUCAUUAA
rnacentral:rRNA from 1 species